rnacentral:rRNA from 1 species
ACGUACACUCCUACGGGAGGCAGCAGUGGGGAAUUUUGGACAAUGGGCGAAAGCCUGAUCCAGCCAUGCCGCGUGCAGGAUGAAGGCCUUCGGGUUGUAAACUGCUUUUGUACGGAACGAAACGGCCUUUUCUAAUAAAGAGGGCUAAUGACGGUACCGUAAGAAUAAGCACCGGCUAACUACGUGCCAGCAGCCGCGGUAAUACGUAGGGUGCAAGCGUUAAUCGGAAUUACUGGGCGUAAAGCGUGCGCAGGCGGUUAUGUAAGACAGUUGUGAAAUCCCCGGGCUCAACCUGGGAACUGCAUCUGUGACUGCAUAGCUAGAGUACGGUAGAGGGGGAUGGAAUUCCGCGUGUAGCAGUGAAAUGCGUAGAUAUGCGGAGGAACACCGAUGGCGAAGGCAAUCCCCUGGACCUGUACUGACGCUCAUGCACGAAAGCGUGGGGAGCAAACAGGAUUAGAAACCCUGGUAGUCCC